rnacentral:rRNA from 1 species
CAGUCGCCGCGGUAAUACGUAGGUGGCAAGCGUUGUCCGGAAUUAUUGGGCGUAAAGGGCUCGCAGGCGGUUUCUUAAGUCUGAUGUGAAAGCCCCCGGCUCAACCGGGGAGGGUCGUUGGAAACUGGGAAACUUGAGUGCAGAAGAGGAGAGUGGAAUUCCACGUGUAGCGGUGAAAUGCGUAGAGAUGUGGAGGAACUCCAGUGGCGAAGGCGACUCUCUGGUCUGUAACUGACGCUGAGGAGCGAAAGCGUGGGGAGCGAACAGGAUUAGAUACCCGAGUAGUCCCUGUCUCUUAUAC